rnacentral:tRNA from 1 species
UGGGGGCUCGUCUAACGGUAGGACAGCGGACUCUGACUCCGUAUGUGGGGGUUCAAAUCCUCCGCCCCCAG